rnacentral:rRNA from 1 species
UACGAAGGGUCCAAGCGUUAUCCGGAUUUAUUGGGUUUAAAGGGUGCGUAGGCGGCUUAUUAAGUCAGUGGUGAAAGCCCGUAGCUUAACUACGGAACUGCCAUUGAUACUGAUGAGCUUGAAUAUACUUGAGGUUGGCGGAAUGUGUCAUGUAGCGGUGAAAUGCUUAGAUAUGACACAGAACACCGAUUGCGAAGGCAGCUAGCUAAAGUAUGAUUGACGCUGAUGCACGAAAGCGUGGGGAGCAAACAGG